ensembl:rRNA 5S_rRNA 5S ribosomal RNA
GCCUAUGGCCAUACCACCCUGAACAUGCCUGAUCUCCUCUAAUCUCAGAAGCUAAGCAGGGUCCAGCCUCACUAGUACUUGGAUGGGAGACCAACUAGUAAUUGCAGCUGUCACUGGCU